rnacentral:rRNA from 1 species
GAUGAACGCUGGUGGCGUGCCUAACACAUGCAAGUCGAGCGAUUCUCUUCGGAGAAGAGCGGCGGACGGGUGAGUAACGCGUGGGUAACCUGCCCUGUACACACGGAUAACAUACCGAAAGGUAUGCUAAUACGAGAUAACAUGCUUUUAUCGCAUGGUAGAAGUAUCAAAGCUUUUGCGGUACAGGAUGGACCCGCGUCUGAUUAGCUAGUUGGUGAGGUAACGGCUCACCAAGGCGACGAUCAGUAGCCGACCUGAGAGGGUGAUCGGCCACAUUGGAACUGAGACACGGUCCAAACUCCUACGGGAGGCAGCAGUGGGGAAUAUUGCACAAUGGGCGAAAGCCUGAUGCAGCAACGCCGCGUGAGCGAUGAAGGCCUUCGGGUCGUAAAGCUCUAUCCUCAAGGAAGAUAAUGACGGUACUUGAGGAGGAAGCCCCGGCUAACUACGUG